GGGCCGGUAGCUCAUGUGGUAGAGCAACGGACUUUUAAUCCGUGGGUCGCGGGUUCGAAUCCCGCCCGGCUCA
rnacentral:tRNA from 1 species